CGCGUGGGAAACCUUGCGUCCCGCGCCGCCGGGUCCCUCCGCCGGGAAACAUGGAACCGUGGAAAAAUUCGGCCUUUCUCUUCCAGUCCGUAGAUCUCUGUGCGCGAAAUGGGAAAAAUGAGGUACACGUGGCACGCCUUUGAUACUCUACGUCACUUUGUGUGGAAGCGUCAGUGGUUAUAAGGGCAUUGUCUCAUCUGUGCCUCAGAAAUUGGGACGGUCGAGCUGGGCGCUUUUUGUCGUUUCGUUUCUCGUCCUGUGUUCUGGGCUUCCUGCCCGUGUGUAAGCGGCGCAUCCCCUCCCUGCCCCGCCUUUGCUUCCCUGCACUUUCCUCAGUCCCUGGCGCACAGCGUUACCAAUUUGGUGUUCCUCUUGCCCAGUGAAGCAGGCAAAUUGGGGCCAAGAGCUGGACAUACCUGACUCCAAAGAAGAGAUGGGGAGAGAGUCCUGAAAAGAAAAGUGGAAACAGGGAGACCAGGACAGGGACCAAGAAGGGACAGACCUGGAGAAGAACCGCUCUGCCUCCUGGGGAUUUCUGUUCUGUUUGCUUUGUGGUGGGCCUCGUGCCAUCCACUGAAGACCUGAACAGAACAAAAAGACUAAUUAAGAUGGAACUUCUGCCUGACUCUGUGAGUUGGACCGUCCAUCUUCUCCUGCCCUCUGACUACAACUUACAUCCGCUCUCCCGGUUCUCCAGCUGGCCGACUGCCGAUCUAGGGACUUCUCAGCCUCCAUAAUCACGUGAGCCAGUUCCUUCCCUGACUAAUGCAUUUUGCUACCAAGAUGUACCUUCUCAUACAUGUUUCUUUGUGUCCCCGGGCAAGCAUGAACUUGCUACGUGAUGGGCAGGCAGGCACACACUUAAUUUCUCUGUGUUCCAAGGCACUUCCCUCCAGACUGGAUGAACCUGGUUACACAACGGCAGCUGUGUGAGAGUUUUUGAUGCCUCACAUUUUCACUGACACUUUAUUUGCAUUUUUUUAAGUUUAUGGCAUUUCCUUUCUGCCCCACAGCCUUACUGGCUUCGUUUAGCCAGAAGUCCGCACAGAUCAAAGUGCGCACAGGAACUCAUGUCCCACCUCCUCGCUACCCACCCAUUCAGAGAUGAGCUCUCUGCCUCAUCUCUCACUCUCAGACAACCCUCUCCUGCUUCCAGCUAAGUGGGACUUGUGCUGCUCCUCAGCCACACAACUUUGGUUCUCAAGCCCUUCCCUUGGCUGCGUGCUCUGCCUGGACAGCCACUCCCACAGACACACUCAACUGUAGGACUUGUCCUUGAAGAUGUCUGUGAUGUGUGAUUUAUAAUAAGAAAUACAUAUUUAGGGGGCGCCUGGGUGGUUCGGUUGAGCUCAGUUCAUGAUCCCAGGGUUCUGGUGUAGAGCCCUGCAUCCGGGCCCCAUGCUCAGCAGGGAGUCUGCUUCUCCCUCUUCCUCCGCCCCUCCUCCCUCAGAUAAAUAAAAUUUUUUAAAAAAGAAAUACAUAUUUGGUCUUUGUCCCCACACCUGGCUCAGAGCUUCUAAAACCCUGGGAAUCUCAUAAGUAAAAAUAGCCAUAAGGUGUCUUGAUAUUCCGAACAAGCCCCUCUCAGCCACACGUGAGUUUAGGUCAGUGUGGGGAUUUUUGGGAAGCCCCGAAGGUUGGUGGUUGGUUGCCGGGGAAACAGACGUAUGUUGGAGGCUGAAACUCUCAGUCCUGUGUCUCCUGACCUUUGGGGAAUGGAGAGAGGCUAGAGGUUGAAUCAAUUGCCAAUGGCCUGUGAUUUCAUCAAUCCUACCUAUGUAAUGAAGCCUCCAUUAAACCCCAAAAGGAUGGGGUUCAGAGAGCAUCCGGGUUGGUGAGUACCUGGAGGGGCUAGGACAGCGGUGCACUCAGGGAGGUCGUGGAAGCUCCACGCCCCUUCCCUCGUACCUUGCCCUCUGCAUCUCUUUCAUCCGACAGUUCCUGAGUUAUACUCUUCCAUAAUAAACCGAUAAUCUAGUAAGUAAGAUGUUCCUUUCAGCUCUGUGAGCCUUGCUGGCAAGUUAAUUCAACCCAAGGAGGGAGUUGUGGAAUCCUCCAAUUAAUAGCCAAUCACCAGAAGCACAGGGAACAGCUUGGACUUGCAGCUAGCAUCUGAAGGGUGGCGGGAGAGGGAGGGGAAGCCUAGUGGGACUGAGCCCUUAAGCUGUGGGAGCUGACACUAUUCUGACCCUGUCUGCAGGUAGAUAGUGUCAGAAUGGAGCUAACUGCCCAUGGCCAUGGCGACGGAGAAAACACAUAUUGGAAUUGCGUUCCCUCAUCUUCGCCUCUGGUGGAAGUGAGCAUAAGUUCAUAUGCCUUCCAUUCACGCAUGCUUUCCUUCUGCUCACAGUUUUUUGUAUAAUCCCCUUGUUUCAAUCAGUUAUGGUCACUAGUCUAUUUUUUUUUUUUACCCUUACAGUAUAUUUAUUAGAUUAAGAGAGCAUCUUUCCUGGUGAUCAUCAGUUCUAAGGAUUCUUUUCCUUUUAAUUGCAGUAAAAUAUGCAUAAAUUUACCAUUUCUAAGUGUACACUUGAGUGGAGGUAAAGUACACUCACAUUGUUAUGUAAUCCUCACCAUCCAUCUCCAGACACAUCAUUCCUGGCUAUAAGUAAUUAUCUCU